rnacentral:lncRNA from 1 species
UGCGACAUCUGUCACCCCAUUGAUCGCCAGGGUUGAUUUGGCUGAUCUGGCUGGCUAGGUGGGUGUCCCCUUCCUCCCUCACCGCUCUACGUGCGUCCCUCCCGAAGCUGCGCACUCGGUCGAGGAGGACGACCAUCCCCGAUAGAGGAGGACCGGUCUUCGGUCAAGGGUAUAUGAGUAGCUGCGCUCCCCUGCUAGAACCUCCAAACAAGCUCUCAAGGUC